UUGUUUGACAGCAGCAAGAAGCUCAUAUGGGUUAGAGGACACAUCGCCGUUGUAUCCAUUGAUGAGUUCAGAUUUGAAUUGGGUCCAACCCAGCUUAGGAUUUCGAAAACGAAGUAGUAACCUAAGCCAAUGAAGAGGUGCUCCUUCCAUAGAACACAUAGAAACAGAGAUUUGGGAAGCUGGUGGGGUGUUAUGGAGUUUGAAAUACUGUUCGGCUUUUGCUAUCCAACCAACAGGGUCUAUGCCAUUGAAGGUAGGCAUAUCCAGUUUUUUGGGUAUGAAGGAUAAGUUCUGAUAUGUAAAAGGUCUGGUGGUGGUGUGGUUUGUAUGGGAGGAUGUUUCUUCUUGGACGUUUGGGUGAGGAUGGGUAGAGCUUUCAGAGAUAAUAGCAUGUGCUUUUCCGGCAAUUAAGGUCUUAAGGAGGCAUUCGAUUUCUGUAUUAUCAGCUAGAAGGUUUUGCAAGGUGGAAAGGGUGUCUUCAAUGGAGGAUAUUUGUGCUUAAAUUGUAGAUACGUUCUUCUCUAAUGUUUCUACUCUGGAUUCUAUCUUUGUUUUUUGAUCCGGCAGGUCAGACCCAUUUGUUAGAGUUAAGAACGCAGCAGAGAUAAAUUAAAGAAGAAGAUAGAAGAAGAAAUAGAGGUUAGAUGAAAUCAGAGAUUGGAACUUCCAUUAAAUGGGAUUUCAGAUUUACAAGCAGGUCUUGAUUGAGGAAUAAGAAAGAUAAUAACAGAAAGGGAAAAUAAAGUAAAAAAGAAAAGUUGCCGGCAACCCCCAAGACCAGCCCGAUACAAAGAGAGACCCCCUGCCAAAAUAACAAACUUUAUAUCUUUUUCCUUCCUCUCUCAUUCCAAUCGCUAGCUAUAUAUAU